GUGCUCUAUGACCAAGGAACAAAGAGUUAACGCUUUACAAUAGGGGGGAAGUUGGACAAAGUUCCUGUCUAACAUAUUCCCAGAAUUCUAUAGAGACUACCAUCGGGGAAAAUACACACGUUAAUACAUAUUUCAGAUUGUGUUAAUAGCAGGAUUACAUUCUGGAUAUUGGGGUAGCAAUAUCAUAAUUUUGAAGACACCUGCGAUACAUCAGGUAUUCGAUUGGGAGGGAAGUCAUUGGGCGUUCACGGCUGGAAAGAAUAAGGUAAGGCCGUCUCAAAUUGCAAAUCACCUUGACAGUUUGAGCAGUGUUCAGACUGACUAUUAUUAUAUUAUCUGUGAAGUAUUAGGCCGUGUUAUCUGAUAACACAAAAUCGCAGUUCUUAUGGCAAGAUGUCAAGACUUACAGUGAUCUAAUGCCACAGAGUUUGUAACAUGAUUUCAGUUCCUCCCCACGACAAACACCUUCGCUCAAAUGGCUGGCAGCGAUACAUUGUUUUGGGAUUCGGGAGGGAGAAUUGUAGUCAAAUUGAUACAUUAAGUUGGUAGUAGUCUGAUUUAAUCAUGAUGUAAUACAGUUAAUUAGUCUGUGAAAUCGUGUAAAUGCCCCUUAGAAGCUACCCCUUAAUGAGUCUGUUAGAUUACAUUUUUCAUAAAGUAAGGGUCAUUGGAAAAGGCGUCUCCUGUAAGGGGGUGUUUUGUAAGGAAGCGCGACGCUCGGUCUGAACAUUAACACGCGUUGUUUAAGGGAUAGGGUUUCCACAAGGCCAUAUGUCCAUGUUUUAGCGCUCGUUUAAAGAAAUCGGAUGGAAGAUGGUGGACUAGCUGUGCUAAAUAGCUAUCUGCAUCUCCGAACACGUGUGUAAACGGAAGACCGAGACUCCACAAAGGUGUCACUGAAAAAUACUGUCCUUCUGCAACUCUGUUAAAAAUGGCUUAAACCAUG